CCGAGUCCCGGGAUAAGCAGCCGCUGCAGCAGGUGAAGAGCAGCUGAUUGAACAGUGAGGGAGCACAGCGUGAUUUAUGGACUCAAAGUUUGGAGAAACAAACUACAUGUAUCUACCGUAUAUACACCGAUACACAUCCUCUCAGACAGCGAGUUUGACACGCAUCAGCCUCCUGUCAGUUACAGAGUCUGAAUGUCCGCGGGGGAUUGCAGAUUAAACUUUGUCGAAAGUUAUCAACCAUUCAGAAUAGAUCCACGCCUGACCGAUGGAAAUGCUACUGGAGAUUUUAUUGUCUGUAAAUGAAAUGCACCAGAAAGUCUUCCAACAAUCAAAGAUGGAACUUUAAUUUCUUUAUGAAAUUAUUUAUUUAGGAAUGGGAUAUUUGUCUGAUUUGAAUAUAUAAACAUCCUAGUCUGUUUAACUGCAUCACUACAUUGUACAGACAUUACAGGUCAAAGCCAUCUGAUGCUCCAUUUAUCUAGCCUAAAUAAAUAGACCUAAAAUAUAUGGCUCUUAAAUCACUGCUUAUAAAAAUUUAGUGUUGUCAUAUUUCGAAUACCUCAACUGAAUUGAGGUCAUUUGUUUUAUAAUUUUAUUACUGACUGCACUUGCCAUUUUUUUUGUAAAUUCAAUUCAGUUUGAAAUCAAAUUUGAAAUCAAGCGUCCUUGUGUUGUAAGCUUUUGCAACAAAGUUACCCUAUUUUAAAGACACAAAUACACAGAAUGAGCAAAUGUUUAAGAUUUACAUUUUUGGAAUGGUAAUUGAUCAAUAUUUAUAUGUAUGUACAUCAAGGCCUAUAUUAAAAUCUGUUCAUCAUAUAAAGCGAAUGUGUCUUUUUAGAAGACUUGGAUUAAACCAGUUUCAAAGCUUGAAAUAAUGAUUGCCUUGAAAAAAUGGAUGGAGACAUUAUUUUUUUUUAAAUAUUAAAAUAUCUAUAUGACAACUAUAAGUUGUAGUUUUGCCAAUGGUAUUGAAAAUGAUUAGUCGUCAUGAAAUCAAAAUGACCCUAUACUUUUUAGUGCGCAUUACUAGUCUUGUGGUGAACAAUUAAACCGUGCAAGUCAAUACACUGGGAAAAAAAUUGUCUGCCAUUGUAAUCUUUAAUCAGAAACUGAAAAAUUUGCUUCUGCUCUGGAAUGGCGUUCUCGCUCUGAUGACAUCAGUUUGAAGGCUUGGGGAGAAUCCUCUUGUUAAAUCAUGACGUAAGGAUUGCUGUUUCUGGGUCAGUGCCUCUACUUAUUUCACUUGAGAAUACUAUCUCAACAACCAUUUAAUAGCACUAUUUAAUUAAUAUUACAUAUUUAAGCUAAGCAUUAAAAAAUUAGCUGUGCACACUACAGUCUCCGUGCUCACAGUGUCCCAGACACUAAUAUUUUAGAUGAAUCACUGUCUGGCCAUCUGGGAUUUCAGUAUGGAAAUAAAGGUUAGGGUUAUAAUUUUUCAGUAUUACAUGACAUCGUGUGUGUAUAUUAGCACAGUUUGGUGUUUUUAGGGGUGUCUGGCAGAGCGUUAGGACCCAGUAUUGGUCAAGCGUGAUGUCAGACGUAACAAACAGAUAUUCUUAGCCACUCCUAUCCAACCGUGAAUCUGCUCUAAGCAAGAGGUGGAGUAUUCAAUAUCCAAUAUUCCACUUCAGUCAAUAAGAUAAAAGUGGAUUUUGUUCAAAGUAGCUAUUAUCCACAUAGAUCUUUGAUAUGAAUGAAUUUUUUUUUUUUCAUUAAAUAUCAAAGGCUAAAAAGUAACUAGUACUCUGAGUAGUUUUUGAGACGAGUACUUUGUACUUUUACUUAAGUACUGUUUUGGCACCAGUACUUUUACUUGUAAUUGAGUAUUAUUUCAGCAGUGUAACAGUACUUGUACUUGAGUAAAAAUUUUCAGUACUCUUUCCACCACUGUGAGACACACGUGUGUUUAUCCGGUGAAGAGUGACUGAUGGAGGAAUGCUGACAUCAAAGCCUCUCAAUCUUCUGUGGUGGAGCAGGACCUGCAAGGCAAGGUGACAGUGACAUUUGUGGAAAAAAGGGAAAACCUGAAACAAAAGGAUAAAGUAAGAUAAUUUUGUUACUUCCAAUACAGAGAUCAGAUGACAUUGUGCUGUUAAAAUGACUCCUUUUGUAUUAUGUUUGGGCGUUUUUGUAUGAUCUGAAAUGUCUGAGGAUGGAGAGUCCACAGCAGCAUCCUGGAAAUGGUCCAGUGUCAUGAAUGAGAUGCUCCAUCACUCCACCUGACCUUACUGCCUCAUCUGGACCGGAUGCUGCUGUGGUCUCUUCAUCAUCAGUGAGCUCAGAGCUAGCGAGAGCAUCUAGAGAAAGAACCUUGGAGAAAAGAGCCUUGCUGAAGGACACAUCAGUGGUGAUGAACCAGCAACCUUCUGCUCACCAGUUCAGUGGUUUAGCCAACUACAAAAAGCAGGCACAUGAAUGUUUGGAGCAGACACAGUGGCAGCCAGAUUGUCCUGCACAUGUUCUCCUGCUCUUGCCUCAAGGUUGUGUGGUUCAGGGGGCAUCAUCAUGGUCUUCCUCAUCCUCUGGCUCAACA